rnacentral:misc_RNA from 1 species
GAAAAUCAGAAGCAAAUGCUGGCAGAGUUGCAGAAUCUAAGGAAUGAACAUUCAACUUGCCUUUAUACCUUAUCGAGUAGCAAAGCUGAAAUGGAAUUACUGCAACAAGAUAUGAGUCAACGUGUGUUACAGCUUGCUGAUGAGAGACGUGAUUUGGAUGCACUUAAUAAGGAGCUUGAGAUGAGAGCCGCUACUUCAGAAGCAGCUCUGAAAAGAGCCCGCCUGAAUUAUUCUAUUGCAGUAGAUAAGCUGCAAAAGGAUUUGGAGCUUCUUUCCUCACAGGUUGUAUCCAUGUUUGAGACUAAUGAGAACCUCAUCAAGCAAGCAAUCCCAGAACCUUCACAAUCACAAUUCCUUGGGUAUGCAGAUGUUGUUCAGAA